AUGCCCGGCGCCUACUCUUCCUCCAUGAUUAUUAUUCAUGCUCUCCUGCUCCUCGUGCUAAUUCCGCUCGCCGCAGCACAGCCGUGGACCAACUGCGGCAGAGGCCAAGGCAACUACUCGGCAGGCAGCACAUACGAGACCAAUCUCCUAGACCUCCUCCUCGGCACCCUCCGCCAUAACGCCUCCUCGUCGCCGUCCCUGUUCGCCAAAGGAUCCCUCGGUGCCGCGCCGGACACUGCCUGGGCCCUGAUUCUCUGCCGAGGCGACGUCAGCGCCAGGAUGUGCUACGAGUGCGUCACCUGGGCUGGUCACGAGGCGGCCACAGCCUGCAACCGCAGCAGGGACGUGGCCCUCUGCUACGACCAGUGCUACGUCCGCCUAGCCGACCACAACUUCUUGGACCCCAACGGCAACUCCGGCGUGGUAUCGUCCGUGAGCGCUCUAGGUAUCACCAACGGGGACGUCGUCGGCUACGACUGGGCCGUCACCGACCUGUUCAGCUCCACGGUGGAGUAUGCGGUGGACAACUCGAUCUCCUCCAGGAUGUUCGCCAUGGGGUAUUCGGCAGGGACCGAGCCGGGGUUCCACGCGAUCUACAAGGCGGCCGCAGUGCCGAAACUGCCUACAAGGCCUCAUGGGCAUGUGACACGCGGGGCGCGAGGCUGGCUGGUCCUUGAGGUCCGAACUAUUCCAGUUCUUCAAUGA
rnacentral:rRNA from 1 species